CCUGCCGGACCUGACUGCUAUCGGAUUGAUACUAAGCCAUGCGAGUCUUUGCAGUAAUGCAAGGCAUACGGCUCAGUAACACGUAGUCAACCUACCCUAUGGACGAGAAUAAUCUCGGGAAACUGAGCAUAAUUCUUGAUAGAUCAUAAUGCCUGGAAUGGUUUAUGGUUAAAAUGAUUCGUCGCCAUAGGAUGGGACUGCGGCCUAUCAGCUUGUUGGUGAGGUAAUGGCCCACCAAGGCGAUUACAGGUACGGGCUCUGAGAGGAGAAGCCCGGAGAUGGGUACUGAGACACGGACCCAGGCCCUAUGGGGCGCAGCAGGCGAGAAAACUUUGCAAUGUGCGAAAGCACGACAAGGUUAAUCCGAGUGAUUUCUGCUAAAGAAAUCUUUUGCCAGUCGUAAAACCGCUGGUGAAUAAGGGGUGGGCAAGUUCUGGUGUCAGCCGCCGCGGUAAAACCAGCACCUCAAGUGGUCAGGAUGAUUAUUGGGCCUAAAGCAUCCGUAGCCGGCUUUGUAAGUUUUCGGUUAAAUCCAUGUGCUCAACGCAUGGGCUGCCGAAAAUACUGCAUAGCUAGGGAGUGGGAGAGGUAGACGGUACUCAGUAGGUAGGGGUAAAAUCCUUUGAUCUAUUGAUGACCACCUGUGGCGAAGGCGGUCUACCAGAACACGUUCGACGGUGAGGGAUGAAAGCUGGGGGAGCAAACCGGAUUAGAUACCCGGGUAGUCCCAGCUGUAAACGAUGCAGACUAGAUGAUGCAUUGGCAUAAUAGCCAUUGCAGUGUCUCAGGGAAGCCGUUAAGUCUGCCGCCUGGGAAGUACGUACGCAAGUAUGAAACUUAAAGGAAUUGGCGGGGGAGCACCACAAGGGGUGAAGCCUGCGGUUCAAU
rnacentral:rRNA from 1 species